AGUCGAACACUUGCAUGGGACAGAUUCCAAGAUUAUUUAGUAAGUCACUGAUUAAGUCAGAUUAAACUGCCUUCAUUUCGUUUUGUGUCCAUGGUCUAAUUUUACUUGGAUGAUUUAAUUCUAUGGGAUGAUUUCUACUGGGUUUUUUUUUCCAUUUUGUACUUUAAAUACGUUUAAGGUUGAAGGAGUUAGCAAUGGAAUUCUGGACGCCGAAGAGAAGAAGCCUGGUAUUGUUUCUUCUUUAUUUUUGAAUCCAUCAGUUACAUGCUGCAAGUGUACGAUGGCGAAGGCAUUACGGUGCCUUCAAAUGAUCACUUUUUUUCUUUCUUUUUUUUUGGGUUUUUGACGGAUUACAUUAAAUUUUAUUAUUGUUUAUUUGAUGAAGUUCUCGAUUAAGAGCAGCUGCACUUGCAUUUUUGUUCAGGACUAGCAACUGUAAUAGUAAAUAGUACAGUGUGACAGAUUCUCUUAUUUACGUCUGAAUAUGAACGGUUUAUUGUAUCAUAUAGGAAAGAUGAAAGAAAAUAUGAGAUGAUAUUGAAGAAAGCCUUGCCAAGUGUAUGCCUGCUUAAUUCAGAUACCACAACUUCGGUUAUUGUUUAGGUGAGGUGUUCUGUUUGUGUGAAAAUAUUUGAGUCUUGAAUAUUUUAAGCAUUGUGUCAACAACUUGAGAUGGUUGUAAAACAGUGCAUGUAGCGUUGAUGCCUUUUACUUUACAUGCAUAUUUGUUUCAUUCGAACUAAACUUGCAGUGUACAUAUUUAUGCAAAAGAUAAGACCUUUGGAGCC